rnacentral:rRNA from 1 species
AUGCUUGUUAUGCCUAAUAUACUUAGUUUAACAUGUAUCUGUUUUAAUUCUGUUCUUUAUCCUACUACUUUUUUCUUUGCCAAAUUACCCGAAGCUUAUGCUAUUUUCAAUCCAAUCGUGGAUAUUAUGCCUGUUAUACCUCUAUUCUUUUUUCUAUAA